rnacentral:rRNA from 1 species
CUUACCAAGGCUUGACAUCCUCUUGAAAAGCGUAGAGAUACGUUCCCUCUUCGGAGCAAGGGAGACAGGUGGUGCAUGGUUGUCGUCAGCUCGUGUCGUGAGAUGUUGGGUUAAGUCCCGCAACGAGCGCAACCCCUAUUAUUAGUUGCCAGCACUUCGGGUGGGCACUCUAAUGAGACUGCCGGUGAUAAACCGGAGGAAGGUGGGGAUGACGUCAAAUCAUCAUGCCCCUUAUGUCUUGGGCUACACACGUGCUACAAUGGUCGGUACAACGGGAUGCGAAGGAGCGAUGUGGAGCGAAUCCCAAGAAGCCGAUCUCAGUUCGGAUUGCAGGCUGCAACUCGCCUGCAUGAAGUUGGAGUUGCUAGUAAUCGCGAAUCAG